rnacentral:tRNA from 1 species
GCCUGGGUGGCUCAGUCAGUUGAGCACCUGACUUUGGUUCGGGUCAUGAUCUCACGGUUUGUGAGUUCAAGCCCCACAUCGGGCU